GGGCGCUGCGGCGGUAGGAGGAGGACGGGGAAGGACGGAGCUCGGCCGCGGCUGCCUCCCUCGCUCACUCCCUCGCGCGCGCGCUCGCCCGCCCCCUCCCUCCCUCCCCUCCCUUCCCCGGCCCCGGCCCCGGCCCAUUCGCUGCGCGCUCUCCGGCUCGGGAGGAUGUCGGGCUCUUCGCUCCCCAGCGCCCUGGCCCUCUCGCUCUUGCUGGUCUCUGGCUCGCUCCUCCCAGGGCCAGGCGCUGCUCAGAACGCUGGGUUUGUCAAGUCGCCCAUGUCAGAAACUAAGCUCACGGGGGACGCCUUUGAGCUGUACUGUGACGUGGUCGGGAGCCCCACGCCAGAGAUCCAGUGGUGGUACGCAGAAGUCAACCGGGCAGAGUCUUUCAGACAGCUGUGGGACGGUGCUCGGAAGCGCCGUGUCACCGUAAACACCGCCUACGGGUCAAACGGCGUGAGUGUGCUGAGAAUAACCCGGCUCACCUUGGAGGACUCUGGGACUUACGAGUGCAGGGCCAGCAACGACCCCAAGAGGAAUGACUUGAGGCAAAACCCUUCCAUAACAUGGAUUCGAGCCCAGGCCACCAUAAGCGUCCUUCAGAAGCCAAGAAUUGUCACCAGUGAAGAGGUCAUUAUUCGAGACAGCCUCCUUCCUGUUACCCUACAGUGUAACCUCACCUCCAGCUCUCACACCCUUAUGCACAGCUACUGGACAAAGAAUGGGGUAGAACUCACUGCCUCUCGUAAGAAUGCCAGCAACAUGGAAUACAGGAUCAAUAAGCCAAGAGCUGAGGAUUCAGGCGAAUACCACUGUGUAUAUCACUUUGUCAGCGCUCCUAAAGCAAAUGCCACCAUUGAAGUGAAAGCUGCUCCUGAUAUCACUGGCCAUAAACGGAGUGAAAACAAAAAUGAAGGGCAGGAUGCCAUGAUGUACUGCAAGUCAGUUGGCUACCCCCACCCAGAAUGGAUAUGGCGCAAGAAGGAAAAUGGUAUAUUCCAGGACAUUUCCAAUAACUCUGGUCGCUUCUUCAUCAUCAACAAGGAGAAUUACACUGAAUUGAAUAUUAUGAAUCUCCAGAUCACAGAAGAUCCCGGCGAGUAUGAAUGUAAUGCUACCAACUCCAUUGGCACUGCCUCCGUUUCCACCGUCCUCAGGGUACGGAGCCACCUUGCCCCACUUUGGCCUUUCUUGGGAAUUCUGGCUGAAAUCAUCAUCCUUGUGGUGAUCAUUGUUGUGUAUGAGAAGAGGAAGAGGCCAGAUGAGGUUCCUGAUGAUCAUCAGGCAGAUUGAGCUUGAGGAGAAUCCAAGUCAAGCCUAGAAGCCACCCCAAGAUCACAGGCCACCUGUCCUUUCAGAUGAUGAACCAGCCGGGCCAAUGAAAACCAACUCUACCAACAAUCACAAAGAUAAAAACUUGCGCCAGAGAAACACAAAUUAAGUACUGCUUAUAAUCUCUUUAGGUUCCUGAAAACGGUGGCAUCAUGACCUGCUACAUUUUCUGCUUGGACCUCUUUGGUCUCUCCCUUCAAGUGAGCAACACCACAAUGACCGUCUAAAGCAUGCCUUAUUUAGCCUCUCCUAUAAGGGUGACCUAGCCAGGUACAUUUUAAACAAUGCUUCAGUGUAGAAGGUGUAAACUAUUUUGGGCUUGAUGUGCUGUGAAUGUUGCUUCCCCUCCCUUUGGUAAAAUAUUUAAAUAGAAGUGAAAAGGUCCUCUAAGGAUCAGAUCAUGCAUGCGCCAUUUUUUACUUAUGCAGCUGUUAAAUUGGCAAAGCUCUAAAUGCACUGCUGCCAUCUAGUGAUCAUUUUGUAAAGUACAGCAAAACCUACAGAUAUAUACAGUAUAUAAAUAUAUAUAUAUAUUUAUAUUUUUGGGGGUGGGAGAAAUCCAAAAUAAACUAAACGCUUGUUUCAUUUUUAAGCUGCUGAUACUCAUUCCUUAUUGUCUGUUGUCAGAUGAGGAAGCUGCAGUUCUGGUACAUGAGAGUGUAAACUUAAGUCUCAUUCUAAGGGCUUACCCUAUAAAUUUUAAGAACCUGGAACAGUCCACUGAACAGCUGUAAUGAAUUGCAGUAUAUAUGUAUGAUUGCUUUUUAAGUGACUUUUCCUUUUGUCAAAUCAUGUAAAUUCUGAAAUCUUUUGCACUGAUGUGUUGAACCUUAUUCUUGUAUAUUCGAUCAAGGCAACUUUUAUAAUUUCCCUUUUGUUUUCAAUGACCCUGAAAUGUUAAGAGCAUGGUGAUACUCUAUGCAACUCUAGUUACACUUUUUGGUUUGACACUGUAUUUUUCACAUCGAUUUAAUGAUUGAUGAUAGAUUUUAUAACCUGACUGGGUUCUCAUUCGGUACUAACUGUAGAUGCAUGUACUUGUGUUCUGUGUAAUUAUUGAAGUGCAAUGGUGUACAAAAAAAUGAAUUCACCUGUUUUUAACAAUAAAACAUUGAUAAAAGGUG